AAAGAGAAGCGACCUCGCGAGAGCAAGCGGACCUCAUAAAGUGCGUCGUAGUCCGGAUUGGAGUCUGCAACUCGACUCCAUGAAGUCGGAAUCGCUAGUAAUCGUGGAUCAGAAUGCCACGGUGAAUACGUUCCCGGGCCUUGUACACACCGCCCGUCACACCAUGGGAGUGGGUUGCAAAAGAAGUAGGUAGCUUAACCUUCGGGAGGGCGCUUACCACUUUGUGAUUCAUGACUGGGGUGAAGUCGUAACAAGGUAACCGUAGGGGAACCUGCGGUUGGAUCACCUCCUUA
rnacentral:rRNA from 1 species